CCACGUGUCCCACGGGCCUGCCCUAGCCCCAGCUGGCCACAAGCUUCGCCAUCCCACACAGGCUCAGCGCGCCACAGCCAAGAUGAACACAGCAAGAAGGGGACAUGGUUCCGGCUCGGAAGAAGGGCAAGGAAGGAGGAAUUAGGGCCUGCCAACAGGGGCGAGGUGAGAUGAGAGGGGGAAGGUGGCAGGGCAACACUGACGGGGCGCCUUCCAAAGCGCGAUGGCAAAGCCAUUUAGCCAGAGCAGAGCACGCAUACAGUGCUGUGCACACUGCCCAGCUUGCCAGGGUUGAUAAGUGUGGUGCAAUGGGGCCAUCUGCUGGAGACCAAGCUCUGGGAUCCCACUUGUUAUGGAGAACGUCAGACAGCUCUGCACAGCUGCAGGGUUACAUCUCUCCCCUUUACUACCGCGCCGGAGGGAGCCAGGCCACCAGGACACCUUAGUGCAGUUACAAGGUUCCUCUCUGUUGGUGUCUCUCAGGGCUCUCUGUCGCUGGCCUCUCACCUUCACCCCUGUGGUGGGCUUGGUGCCUACAGCACGCUCUGCAAGCAGCAUUUCAGAUGUCCCGGGCUGGGUGCUGUGCUCCAGGGCAAGGGAAGAGAGUGACUGAGAAAUAAGUGGCGUUAUGAGUUUUCUGUGAGCCAGCCUAGCUGUGGGAGGCCUCCAUCCUGCAGCCUCCUUAACCCUGGGCCACAACGUCCCACUUCUGCAACGCUGCUUCAGCAGUGGAACAAUCUCAGGAAAUUUUCCCCCCUUUGCCUGGCUGGGGCCAUGGGACACUAAUGCGAGAAGCCAUUGAUUGGAGCUCUGUGAGCCUGCAGUGCCCAUACAUCACCUUUUGUCCUCAGACACCAGCUGUCACAUGCACCCUACAAGCAUCGGCUGUAACGGUUGGUCACACGAGGACUUUAGCUCAGCUGAAGCAGGGCAAUCUACAACGGAUGGGAAGCUACACGUCCGGUACUGCCCCAGUCUGACAGAACAGAGCCUGGUGUUUUCAAACAACCCACAAGCCACUGCUCCCAGCACCAUGGCAUAAGGGUUUCUGAAGCCCUGGGCCAACGGGAUCUCCAUGAGAGCUCUGCCAACAGCAGCCCUCAGCAGGUGGAUGCUGCCAGGACAAAGCAAAACAAGCAGCCUACGCUAUCCCCUCCCCCGCAAGCCUUUCCUUCCCCAAACGGGGAGGACACUGGAGGUGUGUCUGCCGCUCCUUGGACUCAGGUGGAUGCCAAUCAACAUCCUUGUGCAGCAGGCACCAGAAGGAACCAGGAAGUGGAGGCCAGGGAGCGCAGCUUACUGCAGAGGGGAGAUCGGCUGGAAGAAGCACUCGGAAAGGGUCCCAAGACCACAGGGGAAACUCUGAAAGAAACCAAAAAUGGGAUCUGAAAGGCAAAACUUGGGAGAGGAGUUCAGCAACCAGAUCAAUGACGUCCUGAGCAGACUCGCUACCAAACAGAUGUUCCAGUCAGACUGGGACAUUGCUGCCUUCGCCAUCUUCUUCAUCUUCAUUGGUACUGUGCUGUUGAUGGUUCUCCUGGCUCUGAUCCAUUGCUGCUGCUGCUGCUGCGACUGUGACUCCCGGGGAUCACACAAGAAGGUCCCCAGAAAGAAAGUGGGCAUUGAUAACAAGGCCAUGGAGCCAUAGCCCCGCCUCCUCCCUUGGACAGACAGAUUCUGGCGCCAAUGGGAAAAAGACUCUUCUUUGCUUGCUUCUUUCCGCUACACAGCAAUCAACUGCAGAUCGGACUGUUUGUGUUAAUAUUGAGUGCUGGCCUGGUGGGGCCCUGGCCUCACAGCACUGCACUGCACUGGCUCCAGCACUUGUUCUUCCUUCUCUGUGCACAAAGGAUAAAGAUUAAAAGGAACUCCUACGAUGCUGAAUAAGGAUAGCAUCUACAGCAAUCUCACAUUGUACAAUUAGAGCCACUGGUCCUCAAACUACAGGGCAGAAGUUGCUCAUCAGCCUAGGGUCAGCGGAGGAAGUCUACCUCCUUGUGGUAGAGUACUGUACAUAACAGGGAGUUUAUACCUUCCAAGGUCACUACUGGCAUCAGGGAUUGCAACUAGAUAGGCCAUUGGGCCGGUCCUGAAAGGCAGCUCGUGUGUGUGUAGUCACUAAUUAAAACAGUGCCUCCAGGGACUCUUCCAGGUGCCUGAAAACAUCCCUUGCUGGCACCCAUCAUCUGACACUUCCAGAGUCUGGAAAGGAACAUGCCCCAGACCAGAACUGACCAUAUGGGAAGGAACAGCUCCCCAGAAAGCCCAUCCUGGCUUAGCUGAACACAGAGGAGGCGAAUGUCUUAGCAGCACUUUCCUAUAGAGCCCCCGUUCACACAGGCUCUUGGGUCCUUUUGGCAGCAGCCAAGGAGUUAAAUUGCUACCUGCACAGUCCCUGAUAGGCAAGAGAACCGUCCAUAGAACCAGCUGAAGGAGAACAGGCUCGGGGAGGAAGCACGUCUUGUGUACUGACACGCUGCUGUCUCCAUUGAUUCAGGAGAAGGAAGACAGAGCUCUGCAGAACCACUGAACUAGGGUAGUGCUGGUGCAGGCCUGAUGCUCGGAGAGCCCGGUGUCUGUGUCUGUAACGGCGAGGCCAGGCCCCAGCCAGGGGCACUGGGCUCUAGAUCAGGGGGCUCAAGAAAGCCCAAAGAGUCAUUUCUUUCCUGCGUAGCUGGUUUUACACAGAACUCAGUGGAUGUAAUGCACGGUCAGUAGCCUUCUGCUGAGUCCUACGGAGCCAGCAAGCACAACCCAUUAGCCAAUGACCCUGUCCAGCUCCCUGAGACACCACUUUGUUCAGCAGCUAGGGGAAGGGUUAGAACUCAUCACUGUCUCCCUCUGGGAAGAGUACCUCAGGGCUGGGUUAAGUCAGCCUCUCUGCUGUCUGAGACACUGACUCCCCACAGCAGGCCAAGGCAAAUAAGAGAGUAACUCGGGCAGUGGCUUGGAAGCCAUGGAAAGUGAGGGGGCUUGAGCACUCCAGCUCUGAACAAAGUGCCUGUCAGGGCCUGGCCUCUGCCACUCCCACCCCUCUCUGGUGCUCAGGAACAUCCUGAGCAUGGCAUUCAGGAACAGGCCUCACUUACCCACUGGACUAAGUUUAGACAGGAGCUUGCCUGGCACUGCAAAGGGAAGCCAGAGUCACAGACAGCCUUGCUCUUCUGACUCCUCCUUGAAGCCCUCUAAAUAAGAAGUGUUCAGAGAGCACAUGGGACUUCAAAGGGACCUGUGCUUCUAUUCAGUCCGGACAUGUUCUCCUUCAUCACAGUACAGUCUGUAUGUACGCACCCAUUGGCCUCUGCACACCCCUGCAGAGCCUUAUUCCAUAUGGCAUAAUCUCUGCAUUGCAGUAGUAUUACACUCUGCCUAGGGAGUGUGUCUAAAAGUGAAGGCCCACAAGGUACAUGGCUUCAUCUUCCCCAGCCCCUUUCGUACUCACUUUGGCUCAGAGGUGAGCGACACACACAGAAGAAAGGCCUCUUCUCUUUGUGGGCUCGAUCCUGUGGUCAGUGAGACCACUGACUUCAGUGGCAGCUGGAGCAGACCCCCCCUUCUGCCCAGCAGGUUUGCUCUCAGACCCAGCUAGCAGCAGGGCACGCUGGAAAUACAGGCGUCCCUUUGGUUGGAACAUUUAUCGAUUUCAGCAGCUCUUCUGGCUGACUGGCUCCACUCCCUGGCCACUGACUGGUACAUUAUAACCCUGUGCUUUGUGUGCUAAUUAGAGUCAAGCAGAGGGAGUGUCACACCCUUCCUGCUGGUCAGCUGCUCCAGGGCUUGUGACUGUCUUCUCCCACCCAGCUCUCCGUUUAUUCUAUGCUCAUAGGGUUCACAGGGCUAGUGGCUCAGGGAACCUGAAGGGAGAGUGUUGGGGUCAGUUCAAUUAACAUUCCAAACAACGUCCUUUGGGGUUUCCCACUGACUUGUAUGUUCAUAAAACUUUCUAAUUUCAUCUCUGAAUCCAGGAAGAGAGACUCAUGAUUAUAAAUAAAAAGCACAUGAUGGAGA